GCAAAUAUGAUGUAUAUGACUUUUGCAUGGCUUUGCAGUUGUGGGCAUAUGAGGCUAUCCCUGCUUUGGGUAGCAAAUGGGCGAUCAGAAGGGAGACCAGCUGCCCACGAAUGCUUCAUUGGCGAGCACAUGAAAAGCCAUCGGCUAAAGAUUUGACAGUUAUCCUCGACGAUCCUCAGCUCGAAGUUCAUGCUGAGUUGGUUAUUUCGGUGGAAGAGGAGGAUGCAAUAUAUGUACGUGAAUUACU